UACGUAGGGGGCAAGCGUUGUCCGGAUUUAUUGGGCGUAAAGAGCGUGUAGGCGGUUUGGUAGGUCCGCUGUGAAAACUCGAGGCUCAACCUCGAGACGCCGGUGGAAACCAUCAGGCUAGAGUCCGGUAGGGGAGCGUGGAAUUCCUGGUGUAGCGGUGAAAUGCGCAGAUAUCAGGAGGAACACCAGCGGCGAAGGCGGCGCUCUGGGGCCGGUACUGACACUGAGGAGCGAAAGCGUGGGUAGCAAACAGG
rnacentral:rRNA from 1 species